rnacentral:rRNA from 1 species
CGGCGGACGGGUGAGUAACGCGUGGGCAACCUGCCUUACACAGGGGGAUAACAGUUAGAAAUGACUGCUAAUACCGCAUAAGACCACAGAGCUGCAUGGCUAAGUGGUAAAAACUCCGGUGGUGUAAGAUGGGCCCGCGUCUGAUUAGGUAGUUGGUGAGGUAACGGCUCACCAAGCCGACGAUCAGUAGCCGACCUGAGAGGGUGACCGGCCACAUUGGGACUGAGACACGGCCCAGACUCCUACGGGAGGCAGCAG